rnacentral:rRNA from 1 species
GCGGCAUGCCUAACACAUGCAAGUCGAACGGGAUCCUGGCUUCGGUCAGGUGAGAGUGGCGGACGGGUGAGUAACGCGUGGGAACCUGCCCAGUGGUGGGGGAUAACUGCGGGAAACUGCAGCUAAUACCGCAUGAGCCCGAGAGGGGAAAGAUUUAUCGCCAUUGGAGGGGCCCGCGUUCGAUUAGGUAGUUGGUGGGGUAAUGGCCUACCAAGCCUGCGAUCGGUAGCUGGUCUGAGAGGAUGAUCAGCCACACUGGGACUGAGACACGGCCCAGACUCCUACGGGAGGCAGCAGUGGGGAAUAUUGGACAAUGGGCGCAAGCCUGAUCCAGCAAUGCCGCGUGUGUGAAGAAGGUCUUCGGAUCGUAAAGCACUUUCGACGGGGACGAUGAUGACGGUACCCGUAGAAGAAGCCCCGGCUAACUUCGUGCCAGCCGCCGCGGUAA